rnacentral:misc_RNA from 1 species
CAAAGCACGAAAAUAAAAAAAAUAAGUAUAUAUAUAUAUAUAUAUAUAUACAUACAUAUAUAUAUGUAUGUAUUCACACGAUUAUUCCCAUAUUUAUAUAUGUAUUUUAUGCAUGUCUAUAUAAAUGUUCAGGUGUCUUGGAAAUUCUCUUCGGAUUAAUCACCUUUAACAACUCUUUGCCUCGCCUCGCCUUUCUUCGGUUUUAUCAUUACCUCACCAAUGUGGGAAACUAUUCAGCGCCAAUUAACCAUAAUUGUGAUGUAAUGGUCAGCAACAGGAAAUGACGUCACUGGGAUGGAAGCUGUUUCUCUUAAUGAUGGUGUUCUCCAACAGUUGCCAUGGUCUACCCCCAGAGUGUAACCGGCAAUACAUCUUUGGAGACAUGCGAUGUGACUGGUGGAUAGGAGGCCCUCGGGACGCCUGGAUGUACGAUAAAUCUUCUCGCACCUGUCGACAAAUCCCUUUUCACACUUGUCCCUUGUAUGAAAAUCGAAUUGCAGAGGUUACCUUCAUUUCUCUCUCCCGUUGCGAAAAAAAGUGUAUCAAAUGCGAUACAAAAGUGAUCUACGCUGACAUGCGGUGCGACUCAUUCGAAGGCAAAUUCAGACAGAUAUGGUUUUAUGAUAACCGACGCAACGUAUGCCGUACUACAAUGUUUUACACCUGUUCUAAAUACUUACACAGAGUUGCAGACGUCGCGUUCAUUCGUAAAAUAGACUGUGAAAAUUACUGCCAACGAGGUUCAUUCAUGCCUUUGGUGAACAAAGAACUCUUUGCAGUUCGGAUUCACUUCUACAUAACCAUGCUGAAAAUUAUACUGGACACUACGGAAGUCAGCAUAUCUACCGGAAGUAUUGAGGAGACGGCACCCAUUACAGCUCGCUGCCAACCGUUGGUGUUUCAUCCCUGUAUAUCUUUAGGUUAUUCUCAGACAUUUUUCCCAAAUCUGUUUGGUGACGAUAACCAGACUGCUGCUCGGCAACGCUUUCGAACCGUAGUUGAACCUUUACUGGAUCGAAGAUGUUCCAAACAACUGUUGGGUUUCUAUUGCGGCCUCAUCUUUCCGAAAUGCACAGGUCGAAUUCCUGUGUUUCCUUGCAGAGAUUUGUGUGUUGAUGUAUGGAAAGGAUGCGGUGAGGAACCUACUCUAGGAUUGUGUAACCAUUUGGUGGAAGAUAAACCACAUUGUUUCCGCCCUCGACCAACAUCAGCUUGAAAUGUAAUUUCUGCUCAGCGAUCUCGUCUGCAUAAAAUAUGAAUUAUCAGAUGGUGACAAUAUUAUAGUCCAGUCUCGCCAGGAAUGAAUUUAAAAAAUGUUUAUGCAUCGAUGUCCUUUCAAAAUAAAGCAUAUGAAGUUCUGAGAAGAUGUCCAUGGUAGAAGAACGUUGAAGUGGGUGUUUUACCGCAUGUGAUUUGGCACCUAACAGUAAUGAGUUCAAGUUCCACAGAAGUCGACUUUGUUUUCAUUUCACUUUGAGAUGGAUGAGGAUCGAUAAAUUAGUACCAGAUGUUUACACUGGACAUCAGGAGCAUUAACCCCACCACGAAAGGAGAGUCUGUAAAGUUCAACAAAGCUAUUCCUUCUUGAAAUAUAUUAUAUAUAAAAAAAAAAGAACACACAAAAUUGUUGGCAAAUGGCACAUGACAUUUAGUUGAAUAAAGAUGAAGUUCAGAACUUAAUUUGAAAGAAUUCAGUAUGAACUCUCUGCAUAACCCCAACACCACCAAAAUACUCUAUACUGCAUCCCCACCCUUUUUCUUUUGCUAUGAGAUAAAAUAGAAUGAAAUAAAAUUGAAUAGAUCAAAAUAUAAUAA